rnacentral:lncRNA from 1 species
UGCAGAUCUGCCUCUCUUUGCACAGUGGGCAUGUCCCUACAACAAAGUACCUCUCACAUGUGACAUUCAGGUGGCAGGAAACUUGCUUUUUAACCAAGUCCUGCGAGAACUCUCAAAGAAAAGUUCCUGUUCAGGGGAUUUCGUGUUGUUGGAGGCUUCUGGGUGUUGCGCUUCUUUGAAAAAGCAACACUCUGAUACAGCAAUCCAUCACAGAGGAGCUGUGCCUCCCCGCCUCCUCGCCUCCCUGAGAUUAAUUACAGGCAAGGGCCACGUGUCUGGCUUGGCCUGUGAUUGAUCCUGCAGGAGGAAAUGCAAGGGAUGCCAACGGGAAGCUAAUGCUGCCUUUUAUCCGGUAAGCAAAGUUCAGGGAUGUUUGCAUUUUUCGAGGUAAGCAUGCCUCUCAAGACCCAGGAUGGAUAGACUGUCCUCUCAGCAGGAAUUCUUGCCAAGGCAACACAGAGGUGGGCCUCAGUGGGCCCCACUGGGGCCACAGAGGCCAGACAUUCAGAAGUGCUAAUUUUGCAAAUAGCCUGAUUCCAUCAUGUUUUAAUUAGCAUGAAGUAUUGCAAGCUGAUUCUGUUCAAGAGGUUGGCAAGUGAGAACUGGAUUAAGAUCAGUGCAAUAGACUUGGGAUAUAUAUAUAUAGGAAUUUUCUAAUCACUGAAAUGUGCUAGGUGCUGGAAUUUCCUAAUUUUUGUAGAAAAG